GGUGGUAUAGCUCAGUGGUAGAGUGCAUGCUUAGCAUGCACGAGGUCCUGGGUUCAAUCCCCAGUACCUCCA
rnacentral:tRNA from 1 species